rnacentral:rRNA from 1 species
AGCGAACGCUGGCGGCAGGCUUAACACAUGCAAGUCGAACGCUCGUAGCAAUACGGGAGUGGCAGACGGGUGAGUAACGCGUGGGAAUAUGCCUUUUGGUUCGGAAUAACUCAGGGAAACUUGAGCUAAUACCGGAUAAGCCCGUGAGGGGAAAGAUUUAUCACCAAAAGAUUAGCCCGCGUCCGAUUAGCUAGUUGGUGAGGUAAUGGCUCACCAAGGCGACGAUCGGUAGCUGGUCUGAGAGGAUGAUCAGCCACAUUGGGACUGAGACACGGCCCAAACUCCUACGGGAGGCAGCAGUGGGGAAUAUUGGACAAUGGGCGCAAGCCUGAUCCAGCCAUGCCGCGUGAGUGAUGAAGGCCUUAGGGUUGUAAAGCUCUUUUGUCCGGGAAGAUAAUGACGGUACCGGAAGAAUAAGCCCUGGCCAACUUCGUGCCAGCCACCGCAGUAA